rnacentral:rRNA from 1 species
GAUGAACGCUGGCGGCGUGCCUAAUACAUGCAAGUCGAGCGAACGGACGAGAAGCUUGCUUUUCUGAUGUUAGCGGCGGACGGGUGAGUAGCACGUGGAUAACCUACCUAUAAGACUGGGAUAACUUCGGGAAACCGGAGCUAAUACCGGAUAAUAUUUUGAACCGCAUGGUUCAAAAGUGAAAGACGGUCUUGCUGUCACUUAUAGAUGGAUCCGCGCUGCAUUAGCUAGUUGGUAAGGUAACGGCUUACCAAGGCAACGAUGCAUAGCCGACCUGAGAGGGUGAUCGGCCACACUGGAACUGAGACACGGUCCAGACUCCUACGGGAGGCAGCAGUAGGGAAUCUUCCGCAAUGGGCGAAAGCCUGACGGAGCAACGCCGCGUGAGUGAUGAAGGUCUUCGGAUCGUAAAACUCUGUUAUUAGGGAAGAACAUAUGUGUAAGUAACUGUGCACAUCUUGACGGUACCUAAUCAGAAAGCCACGGCUAACUACGUGCCAGCAGCCGCGGUAAUACGUAGGUGGCAAGCGUUAUCCGGAAUUAUUGGGCGUAAAGCGCGCGUAGGCGGUUUUUUAAGUCUGAUGUGAAAGCCCACGGCUCAACCGUGGAGGGUCAUUGGAAACUGGAAAACUUGAGUGCAGAAGAGGAAAGUGGAAUUCCAUGUGUAGCGGUGAAAUGCGCAGAGAUGUGGAGGAACACCAGUGGCGAAGGCGACUUUCUGGUCUGUAACUGACGCUGAUGUGCGAAAGCGUGGGGAUCAAACAGGAUUAGAUACCCUGGUAGUCCACGCCGUAAACGAUGAGUGCUAAGUGUUAGGGGGUUUCCGCCCCUUAGUGCUGCAGCUAACGCAUUAAGCACUCCGCCUGGGGAGUACGACCGCAAGGUUGAAACUCAAAGGAAUUGACGGGGGCCCGCACAAGCGGUGGAGCAUGUGGUUUAAUUCGAAGCAACGCGAAGAACCUUACCAAAUCUUGACAUCCUUUGACAACUCUAGAGAUAGAGCCUUCCCCUUCGGGGGACAAAGUGACAGGUGGUGCAUGGUUGUCGUCAGCUCGUGUCGUGAGAUGUUGGGUUAAGUCCCGCAACGAGCGCAACCCUUAAGCUUAGUUGCCAUCAUUAAGUUGGGCACUCUAAGUUGACUGCCGGUGACAAACCGGAGGAAGGUGGGGAUGACGUCAAAUCAUCAUGCCCCUUAUGAUUUGGGCUACACACGUGCUACAAUGGACAAUACAAAGGGCAGCGAAACCGCGAGGUCAAGCAAAUCCCAUAAAGUUGUUCUCAGUUCGGAUUGUAGUCUGCAACUCGACUACAUGAAGCUGGAAUCGCUAGUAAUCGUAGAUCAGCAUGCUACGGUGAAUACGUUCCCGGGUCU